rnacentral:rRNA from 1 species
UGACGUUAACGUCAGAAGAAGCACCGGCUAACUCCGUGCCAGCAGCCGCGGUAAUACGGAGGAUCCAAGCGUUAUCCGGAAUCAUUGGGUUUAAAGGGUCCGCAGGCGGAUUUAUAAGUCAGUGGUGAAAGCCUACAGCUUAACUGUAGAACUGCCAUUGAUACUGUAAGUCUUGAAUUCGGUCGAAGUGGGCGGAAUAUGUCAUGUAGCGGUGAAAUGCUUAGAUAUGACAUAGAACACCGAUAGCGAAGGCAGCUCACUAGGCCUGGAUUGACGCUCAGGGACGAAAGCGUGGGGAGCGAACAGGAUUAGAUACCCUGGUAGUCCACGCCGUAAACGAUGAGAGCUAGUUGUCUGGCAGCAUGCUGUCAGGUGACGCAGCUAACGCAUUAAGCUCUCCGCCUGGGGAGUACGGCCGCAAGGUUAAAACUCAAAGGAAUUGACGGGGGCUCACACAAGCGGUGGAGGAUGUGGCUUAAUUCGAGGCAACGCGAAGAACCUUAUCCCGGACUUGACAUCUAUGGAUUAGCAUUGUGAAAGCAGUGUGACGCCUUCGGGUGGAACAUAGACAGGUGCUGCAUGGCUGUCGUCAGCUCGUGCCG